rnacentral:rRNA from 1 species
UAAACGGCGGCCGUAACUAUAACGGUCCUAAGGUAGCGAAAUUCCUUGUCGGGUAAGUUCCGACCUGCACGAAUGGCGUAAUGAUGGCUAGGCUGUCUCCACCCGAGACUCAGUGAAAUUGAACUCGCUGUGAAGAUGCAGUGUACCCGCGGCAAGACGGAAAGACCCCGUGAACCUUUACUAUAGCUUGACACUGAACAUUGAGCCUUGAUGUGUAGGAUAGGUGGGAGGCUUUGAAGUGUGGACGCCAGUCUGCAUGGAGCCGACCUUGAAAUACCACCCUUUAAUGUUUGAUGUUCUAACGUUGACCCGUAAUCCGGGUUGCGGACAGUGUCUGGUGGGUAGUUUGACUGGGGCGGUCUCCUCCUAAAGAGUAACGGAGGAGCACGAAGGUUGGCUAAUCCUGGUCGGACAUCAGGAGGUUAGUGCAAUGGCAUAAGCCAGCUUGACUGCGAGCGUGACGGCGCGAGCAGGUGCGAAAGCAGGUCAUAGUGAUCCGGUGGUUCUGAAUGGAAGGGCCAUCGCUCAACGGAUAAAAGGUACUCCGGGGAUAACAGGCUGAUACCGCCCAAGAGUUCAUAUCGACGGCGGUGUUUGGCACCUCGAUGUCGGCUCAUCACAUCCUGGGGCUGAAGUAGGUCCCAAGGGUAUGGCUGUUCGCCAUUUAAAGUGGUACGCGAGCUGGGUUUAGAACGUCGUGAGACAGUUCGGUCCCUAUCUGCCGUGGGCGCUGGAGAACUGAGGGGGGCUGCUCCUAGUACGAGAGGACCGGAGUGGACGCAUCACUGGUGUUCGGGUUGUCAUGCCAAUGGCACUGCCCGGUAGCUAAAUGCGGAAGAGAUAAGUGCUGAAAGCAUCUAAGCACGAAACUUGCCCCGAGAUGAGUUCUCCCUGACUCCUUGAGAGUCCUGAAGGAACGUUGAAGACGACGACGUUGAUAGGCCGGGUGUGUAAGCGCAGCGAUGCGUUGAGCUAACCGGUACUAAUGAACCGUGAGG